rnacentral:rRNA from 1 species
GAUGAACGCUAGCGGCAGGCCUAAUACAUGCAAGUCGAACGGUGUAGCAAUACACAGUGGCGCACGGGUGCGUAACACGUAUGCAACCUACCUUACAUUGGGGGAUAGCCUUUCGAAAGGGAGAUUAAUACCGCAUAAGACAGUAACUGGGCAUCCAGUAGCUGUUAAAGAUUUAUCGAUGUAAGCUGGGCAUGCGUCCAAUUAGUUAGUUGGCGAGGUAAUGGCUCACCAAGACGAUGAUUGGUAGGGGAACUGAGAGGUCAACCCCCCACACUGGCGCUGAGAUACGGGCCAGACUCCUACGGGAGGCAGCAGUAGGGAAUAUUGGGCAAUGGGCGCAAGCCUGACCCAGCCAUGCCGCGUGCAGGAAGAAGGCGUUAUGCGUUGUAAACUGCUUUUAUACAGGAAGAAACGACCCUUGCGAGGGGCAUUGACGGUACUGUAUGAAUAAGCACCGGCUAACUCCGUGCCAGCAGCCGCAGUAAUAC